rnacentral:rRNA from 1 species
AUUGAACGCUGGCGGCAGGCCUAACACAUGCAAGUCGAACGAGUGGCGGACGGGUGAGUAAUGUCUGGGAAACUGCCUGAUGGAGGGGGAUAACUACUGGAAACGGUAGCUAAUACCGCAUACCAUCAGAUGUGCCCAGAUGGGAUUAGCUAGUGGGUGGGGUAACGGCUCACCAAGGCGACGAUCCCUAGCUGGUCUGCAAGGAUGACAAGCCAUAUUGCAACUGUGACACGGUCCCGACGACUACGGGAGGCAUCAGAGGGUAAACUGGAGCAAUGGGCGCAAGCCUGAUGCCGCCAUGCCGCGUGUAUGAAGAAGGCCUUCGGGUGGUUAAGUACUUUCAGCGGGUAGGCGUUACCCGCAGAAGAAGCACCGGCUAAGUCCGUGCCAGCAGCCGCGGUAAUAC